rnacentral:rRNA from 1 species
CCUACGGGCGGCAGCAGUGGGGAAUAUUGGACAAUGGGCGAAAGCCUGAUCCAGCCAUGCCGCGUGUGUGAAGAAGGCCUUCGGGUUGUAAAGCACUUUCAGUGGGGAAGAAAGCCUUGGGGCUAAUACCCUCGAGGAAGGACAUCACCUACAGAAGAAGCACCGGCUAACUCCGUGCCAGCAGCCGCGGUAAUACGGAGGGUGCGAGCGUUAAUCGGAAUUACUGGGCGUAAAGCGCGCGUAGGCGGUCUGAUAAGCCGGUUGUGAAAGCCCCGGGCUCAACCUGGGAACGGCAUCCGGAACUGUCAGGCUAGAGUGCAGGAGAGGAAGGUAGAAUUCCCGGUGUAGCGGUGAAAUGCGUAGAGAUCGGGAGGAAUACCAGUGGCGAAGGCGGCCUUCUGGACUGACACUGACGCUGAGGUGCGAAAGCGUGGGUAGCAAACAGGAUUAGAUACCCUUGUAGUC